rnacentral:rRNA from 1 species
AUUGAACGCUGGCGGCAGGCCUAACACAUGCAAGUCGAACGAGUGGCGGACGGAUGACUAAUGAAUCGGAAACUGACUGGUGGAGGAGGAUCACUAAUGGGCACGAUAGCUACUAACGCAUACCAUCGGAUGUGCCCAGAUGGGAUUAGCGUGUUGGUGGGGUAAAGGCUCACCAAGGCGACGAUCCCUAGCUGGUCUGAGAGGAUGACCAGCAACACUGGAACUGAGACACGGUCCAGACUCCUACGGGAGGCAGCAGUGGGGAAUAUUGCACAAUGGGCGCAAGCCUGAUGCAGCCAUGCCGCGUGUAUGAAGAAGGUCUUCGGGUUGUAAAGUACUUUCAGCGGGGAGGCGUUACCCGCAGAAGAAGCACCGGCUAACUUCGUGCCAGCAGCCGCGGUAAUAC